rnacentral:rRNA from 1 species
GGGGGGGGGUGUCGGAUAUUGGGCGUAAGAGCUUGUAGGUGGUUUGUCGCGUCUGCUGUGAAAAUCCGAGGCUCAACCUCGGACUUGCAGUGGGUACGGGCAGACUAGAGUGUGGUAGGGGAGACUGGAAUUCCUGGUGUAGCGGUGGAAUGCGCAGAUAUCAGGAGGAACACCGAUGGCGAAGGCAGGUCUCUGGGCCAUUACUGACACUGAGAAGCGAAAGCAUGGGGAGCGAACAGGAUUAGAUACCCUGGUAGUCCAUGCCGUAAACGUUGGGAACUAGGUGUGGGUCUCAUUCCACGAGAUCCGUGCCGCAGCUAACGCAUUAAGUUCCCCGCCUGGGGAGUACGGCCGCAAGGCUAAAACUCAAAGGAAUUGACGGGGGCCCGCACAAGCGGCGGAGCAUGCGGAUUAAUUCGAUGCAACGCGAAGAACCUUACCAAGGCUUGACAUACACCGGAAUCACUCAGAGAUGGGUGCGUCUUCGGACUGGUGUACAGGUGGUGCAUGGUUGUCGUCAGCUCGUGUCGUGAGAUGUUGGGUUAAGUCCCGCAACGAGCGCAACCCUCGUUCUAUGUUGCCAGCACGUCAUGGUGGGGACUCAUAGGAGACUGCCGGGGUCAACUCGGAGGAAGGUGGGGAUGACGUCAAAUCAUCAUGCCCCUUAUGUCUUGGGCUUCACGCAUGCUACAAUGGCCGGUACAAAGGGCUGCGAAACCGCGAGGUGGAGCGAAUCCCAAAAAACCGGUCUCAGUUCGGAUUGGGGUCUGCAACUCGACCCCAUGAAGUCGGAGUCGCUAGUAAUCGCAGAUCAGCAACGCUGCGGUGAAUACGUUCCCGGGCCUUGUACACACCGCCCGUCAAGUCACGAAAGUCGGUAACACCCGAAGCCGGUGGCCCAACCCUUGUGGGGGGAGCCGUCGAAGUGGGACUGGCGAUUGGGACUAAGUCGUAACAAGGUAACC